CACGAGCUUAAGUAACUUUGCCAAGGUCACUCAGCUGGUGAUUGGCAGAGCCAGGAUUUAUGCCUUGGUUUGUCUGAUUCCAAAGUCCACACAGAUUAAGAGAGGAGGGAAGGCUUGAGAGACAAAGGGUUCCUAUGGUGUUGAAGGGAAUGGGAACAGGACACAGAAUUAUGGUUGGCAUCGAAACAGACCACAGAGUUUGGCAACUGAUAGCAUGUGUUAGGGAGAAAUAGACAUCAACAGUGUCGUUUGAGUCAUGGCUUUCUUCUAGGAGAAUGGUGGUACUGUUAAUAAAAUACGGUAGUCAGGAGUAGAAGCCAGUCUCAGGCAAAAGACAGAGGGCGUGACUUGGGCAAGCAGAGGCUGAGGCGUUGGUGGGAAGGAGUGGGGACAAAAAUUCACUGCUUUUGGGGACAGAAAUGUUUAAAACUUUACCCUUAUGAACUUGGACAAAGGAAAGAUGUGGACGUCUGUUUUGUUAUUUGAGCUUAAAGAAGUGAUUUAGAUUAGCCUAGCAAUGAGCAUCUUGUGACCUCACCCAGGAUGUCAGUUCCUGCAGGUGUAAAACUUGUGCCAUUCCAGGCCUCAGCUGGACACACGAUGGGGGCCGGGGAGUGGAGUUGAGGCCAGUGGCUGCUCCCAGGGGAUCAGUGAGCAGGUUUGUUUCUUUCCCGUGUUAAUCCUGGGAGACCAAACCUUGAUUUCAGCUAUAUUUUCCCUCUACCUUUACCAGAUAACCUUACCUUUACCUUACAUAACAGCCACUUUUUAUAUUUGUGAAGUAACUCCCCCAC
rnacentral:lncRNA from 10 species